rnacentral:rRNA from 1 species
UACGUAGGGCGCAAGCGUUGUCCGGAAUUAUUGGGCGUAAAGAGCUCGUAGGCGGUCUGUCGCGUCCGUUGUGAAAACUCGAGGCUCAACCUCGGGCUUGCAGUGGAUACGGGCAGACUAGAGUGCGGUAGGGGAGACUGGAAUUCCUGGUGUAGCGGUGAAAUGCGCAGAUAUCAGGAGGAACACCGGUGGCGAAGGCGGGUCUCUGGGCAACAACUGACGCUGAGGAGCGAAAGCGUGGGGAGCGAACAGG